rnacentral:rRNA from 1 species
CCUACGGGGGGCUGCAGUGGGGAAUAUUGCACAAUGGGCGCAAGCCUGAUGCAGCCAUGCCGCGUGUGUGAAAAAGGCCUUCGGGUUGUAAAGCACUUUCAGCGGGGAGGAAGGCGGUGAGGUUAAUAACCUCAUCGAUUGACGUUACCCGCAGAAGAAGCACCGGCUAACUCCGUGCCAGCAGCCGCGGUAAUACGGAGGGUGCAAGCGUUAAUCGGAAUUACUGGGCGUAAAGCGCACGCAGGCGGUCUGUCAAGUCGGAUGUGAAAUCCCCGGGCUCAACCUGGGAACUGCAUUCGAAACUGGCAGGCUAGAGUCUUGUAGAGGGGGGUAGAAUUCCAGGUGUAGCGGUGAAAUGCGUAGAGAUCUGGAGGAACACCGGUGGCGAAGGCGGCCCCCUGGACAAAGACUGACGCUCAGGUGCGAAAGCGUGGGGAGCAAACAGGAUUAGAUACCCGUGUAGUC